CAUGAUUUACUUUAAUAAACAAACUGUGAACUUUAUAUAAAAUACUAUUCGUGUGUAAUUACUUCGGUUAUUAUCACACUGUCAUUCGAUGAACAUUAGAUAGCUGGCUCGUUUUUUAUUAAACUUUCUCAGCUGAUUUGUUUUUGUUAGACUAAACAUCUAUUCAAUACAAUCAACCAAACAUAGAAA
rnacentral:misc_RNA from 1 species